GUGCCAGCAGCCGCGGUAAGACGGAGGAUGCAAGCGUUAUCCGGAAUGAUUGGGCGUAAAGCGUCCGCAGGUGGCAGUUCAAGUCUGCUGUCAAAGACCGGGGCUUAACUUCGGAAAGGCAGUGGAAACUGAACAGCUAGAGUAUGGUAGGGGCAGAGGGAAUUCCUGGUGUAGCGGUGAAAUGCGUAGAGAUCAGGAAGAACAUCGGUGGCGAAGGCGCUCUGCUGGACCAUAACUGACACUCAGGGACGAAAGCUAGGGGAGCGAAUGGGAUUAGAUACCCCAGUAGUCCUAGCCGUAAACGAUGGAUACUAGGUGUUGUCUGUAUCGACCCGGACAGUGCCGUAGCUAACGCGUUAAGUAUCCCGCCUGGGGAGUACGCACGCAAGUGUGAA
rnacentral:rRNA from 1 species